UUAACACCAAGGCCCCUCGCCUGCAGCUGGAGGCAGCUCUCUGCUCAGCCUACAGUGCAGAAUGACACAGGCAGGCGACAUCAUCACUGAGCACCAACUUCUCUUACAUGGAGGCGGAGGGUGAAAUCCAUUCAGAACCGUGGCAAGGCGUGAGAGAGGCAAAGGGGUAGCUGCAAAGUUUUGGAUAAGAUGUCUGCAGGCAACUGGAAGCAGAGUGUACCCAGGUGGAGCCUAAACUCGUAAGGAUCUUUCCUUCAGGAAAGCUGAUCAUACUGGAUCUGGGCAAUGACGCAAGUGCACUGAAUUACCUAAGAGGCACACAUCUCUGAACAGAGAGGCACGGAUGCACACCAGGAACCCAUUUUUUUAGAAACUGCCUUGCAGAACUGAUACUUUAAAUAUAAUGCUUUCUUUGAGGUGCCAAGUCACCUGUGGUUGUUGAUUCACACUGGAGCACACCACAAGAAAAAGGUCAGAGAACAUGUUGACUUCACAGGAACUGGACUUGACAGGAUUUCUUUGGAAUCAGUAAUUCCGCUGUGGGACUCCCAAAACUCCUGAUGCACCUCAGAUAUUUUAUUCAGUUUCUUCAGUAUAGAAUCUGAACUUUCUACAUUAGAUGCAUUUGAUUUCCUGCUUGUGGGCUUGUUUCUUACUCCUCCACUGUUUUGGAUUUUUUCAGUUUGAUUUCCCUCUGGAAUUCUAUCAGUCCUAUUUGCUUCUUCCUGGUAACAGCACAUGUGUUUCAGGCUGUGUUUACCUGUGUUCUGCCUAAAGAGUAAAUGCUUUGCCAACUCCCAAUUUCAAUAACUUAUUGAAGUUUCUGAUAUGCAUUUCUCUUACAAGUCACUACUAGUUUUUAAAUAUUUUGCUUUUCCUUUUUUACUUUUUUAAAAAAGAGGAUAACUAUGCUUGCACAAACGCAUUACUUGGGAGAAUAUUUUAAAAUGUUUAAAACCUAUAUAAUUUUAAAAUUUUAAAAACAAUUUGCAUUUAUAAUUUACAUUUAUUUGAUGCAUCUACUUGCAUGUAAUAAAGGUAAAUAAUUAGUAAUUACCUUGCAUUUUGGGACUUAACUCCAAAUAACAAAAUUAUAUUUUAAGCAUGUCUGGUAUUU